CGUAGGCCGCCGUGAGGACAGAGCAAUUGAACCAGGGUGCACGGCCAGCGCCAGACACAGUGAGCUUCAUGGCAACUCCAGUUUACCGGGAAGCCUGGGAGACCUGCUCUGCCGAACGUGGUCCAAAUCCUCAUGGAGACAGGCGCACCAGAUCCUGCACCCAGGAGCUGGGACGCCGCUGGCAUGGGCCUGCUUAGGACUGUUCAGCAUCUCCUCACGCCAUUGCCCGACCCGCUAAUCAGCUUGAGGAGAAAGGAGAGAGGAAAUGCCGUCCUUUGACAAGAUGUGGGAAACCACCUCGGUUUGUACUUGGUGUGGCUGUGACCGGCAAACAAAGAACCCUCCCCGGCUCUGGGGCCAAGUUUCCAAUAAACUUUUCCCUGAGCA